GUGACAUCUGGUUCUGACAGCCCAGCGCUGAGUCCUGCCUGGAUCUGAACAGAAUGACACAGAAGAUCAUGGAGCAUCUAAACACCCAGAAAAAUAAGAAGUUUUCCCUCCAGCCACCUGAUUCCAGCUUUAGAAGGAUUUGAAUGAAUUUGUAACUGCAGUUUGCAGAUCAGUUUCUGUAAGAGGAAGGUGAACGUCUUACCCCCAGAGGAGAGCUCCAGGGACUCAACCUCUGUUUGGUGAGAGGCGGCUGGGAGCUGGCCUAG